ACGGGAGGCAGCAGUGGGGAAUAUUGGGCAAUGGGCGCAAGCCUGACCCAGCAACGCCGCGUGAAGGAAGAAGGCUUUCGGGUUGUAAACUUCUUUUGUGAGGGACGAGAAGAAGACGGUACCUUAUGAAUAAGCCACGGCUAACUACGUGCCAGCAGCCGCGGUAAUACGUAGGUGGCAAGCGUUAUCCGGAUUUACUGGGUGUAAAGGGCGUGUAGGCGGGACUGCAAGUCAGAUGUGAAAACCAUGGGCUCAACCUGUGGCCUGCAUUUGAAACUGUAGUUCUUGAGUACUGGAGAGGCAGGCGGAAUUCCGUGUGUAGCGGUGCAAUGCGUAGAUAUACGGAGGAACACCAGUGGCGAAGGCGGCCUGCUGGACAGCAACUGACGCUGAGGCGCGAAAGCGUGGGGAGCAAACAGGAUUAGAUACCCUGGUA
rnacentral:rRNA from 1 species